AGUGAACGCUGGCGGUAGGCCUAACACAUGCAAGUCGAACGGCAGCACAGUAAGAGCUUGCUCUUACGGGUGGCGAGUGGCGGACGGGUGAGGAAUACAUCGGAAUCUACUUUUUCGUGGGGGAUAACGUAGGGAAACUUACGCUAAUACCGCGUACGACCUACGGGUGAAAGCAGGGGAUCUUCGGACCUUGCGCGAUUGAAUGAGCCGAUGUCGGAUUAGCUAGUUGGCGGGGUAAAGGCCCACCAAGGCGACGAUCCGUAGCUGGUCUGAGAGGAUGGUCAGCCACACUGGAACUGAGACACGGUCCAGACUCCUACGGGAGGCAGCAGUGGGGAAUAUUGGACAAUGGGCGCGAGCCUGAUCCAGCCAUACCGCGUGGGUGAAGAAGGCCUUCGGGUUGUAAAGCCCUUUUGUUGGGAAAGAAAAGCAGCAGGUUAAUACCCCGCUGUUCUGACGGUACCCAAAGAAUAAGCACCGGCUAACUUCGUG
rnacentral:rRNA from 1 species